rfam:Plautia stali symbiont DNA, complete genome.
GCAACGGGACGACCCGUUUUACGCCGUCACAGCUGGUGCAGGACGACCUGC